UGACACAACGGUUCCCACUCCUUCGUAGCCUCACCCUCUGUCCGGUCGGCGUCGUCUCUCUCCCCUUGAUGAAGGGGACGCUAUACACAUCUGCUCAUCUCCCAUUCGUGGCUCUUUCUAGAAAAGGCUCAUGAAGGCGAGGCAAAAGUCGAUGGCGCACAUCUCCCGGUGAUCGGAGUGGUCUUCAUCUCGUCGUCUACACGCAAGAGGAUAUAUGGAUCUGAUUCAUUUGCUUUCCUCGCCCAGCGGUGUCGUCGUGACGGAAGAAGACAACAAAGGUCGCCGUCGAGUGAGGCCGUGAUGGCCCACAUCUCCUAUUCGUGCUUCUCCAACGAGGUUUGGUGCUUCUUAUGAGGAAAACACAUUUUCUUUCUUUGAAGGCCGGUAUUUGAGGUCAUUUCAUGCAACUAAUGAUUCUGGUGAAGAUUGUCCAACCUUAGGAUAUAACAUGCAUCAAUUAGACGUAUCUAUCAUGAUCCUUUCAUAGUUUAACGAGUAUUAUGUUUUUCUGUAAAUCAUAGAAAUGUUUAUUUUGUUAACGCAUAGAAAAUCAAUGACUAAGAUGUAGAGUUUGUAUGAAAGUCAAAAUGGAGAUCGAUGAUUUACGCUAAAACUUGUACUCAUUUACGCUGU